CUUCCCACACUGCCUCCCUCCGGGGCCCGGGGGCGGCGAGCCGCGAGGGAGAGGCGUGCAAAGGAGGGCCUCACUAAAAAAUAAACCGAGAAAGAAAGAAAAAGGCCCCCCAAAGCCCUUUCAGAAGUUGCCCACAGGCUGCCAGGGCGCAGGAAGAAGCGCCCGAGGAGGAAGUAGCACACAAUGGAACCGAACAAAGGGGAGCGGCGCGGUGACAACAACCGGCGCUCGCCCCCCGCACACGCAGUCCCCGCCCCGCCGGCGCCCCGGUGCGCGACGCCACCCGCCCUCCACUCGCGGGGACCCCCCGCAGGGUCCGCCUCGGGAGGCAGACGCCCAGUUAGAGGGUCGACCAGUUGUUUGCGUGUUUAGUGCGAGGCAAGCUUCCCCAAAAUGUACCGUGAGCUGAGCUUACACUUUUGGGACGACUACAGAAUUCGAUACUUACUCAGAUGAGAAGAAAAGAAACACAUGCACCUUAAUCGCCCUUCUCAGUUUUGCCUCCUUCUGACUAUGUGGGACUCCAGAUCAUAAUAUUUGCAAGAUUCUGCUUUGUAGAACGAACACAAUUUGAAAUUUAGUUCUUGCCAGGGGAAAUUAAACAUGAAUUACUGGGUUUGA